rnacentral:lncRNA from 1 species
UUGAAACCUCGUGGCGCACGUAAUAAAUAUAAAUUCAACUUAUUUUCAAUACAUUUUCCUAAUUCGGGUAUUUAUUCUUGACUGUAAAAUGAAUGAAGAUAGUUGUUCACUUGAAUUAGAACUUUCACAAGAAACAAUGAUGGCAGUUGACUCUACUCUUUCUGUUGAAAAGCAUUUUUUUGCCACAUAUGCCGAUGU